AGGGAAGGAAGAAGGAUUAUUUAUUAACGCUUCUGUGAAAAAAAGAGGAAGGUUUGCCUUUAACCCACUUGUGAACAUUUUUGAGAUGAUGCCAAGAAACCUUAAGAGGAACUGAUGCUUUAUUUAGUCACAUCUACAUUACAGCAAAGGGAAAUUCUGACAGAUUUGACUUCUGACACGGGUUGUUACGUAGUUCAGCUAACAAGGGGUUAUAAGGGGUUAUAAACCUACAGUAUAGUACAGAGAGUAGGUUUGAAGGAGAAGAACAAAAUGAGGCCUGGGUGAUCCUGGGGUGUAAAAGAGAGAGGGGCAGUUAUCCUGGGGUGUGAGAGGCAAUUUAAACUCCAUGAGAACUUUCAGCAGGACAUCAGGACGUGACACAGAUGAUUUCUGGUCCACUCUGGACUUGAGCAGAUAUUACGGAUCAGAGACAGACUUCAAAGGGAACAUUUUAAGUCAUGACUCGCUGGAGCAAUAACACAGAUCUGUGACAACAAGAUGACAAACAGCAGACAUUACAGCAGUAAUAAGGAACAGCGACCGGUGAGCGCAGGAGACGUCCUGAUUGAGACGAGGCACUUCAUCUGCGUCCAAAAAGAGUCCACAUGUGCAGGCUGAAACAUUAUCAAAGCUGUUUUGUUUUCCUUCUCUGUUCAUCAUCAUCUGCUGCUCAUCUGCUUCCUUUUUCUCUCUUUGGCCCCGUUCACACUGCAGGUAAAAGUGGCCCA